rnacentral:rRNA from 1 species
CAUGCAGUCGAGCGCGGGAAGCAAGCAGAUCUCCUUCGGGAGUGACGCUUGUGGAACGAGCGGCGGACGGGUGAGUAACACGUGGGCAACCUACCUGUAAGACUGGGAUAACUCCGGGAAACCGGGGCUAAUACCGGAUGAAACAAAGCGUCGCAUGACGCAAUGUUAAAAGGCGGCAUAUGCUGUCACUUACAGAUGGGCCCGCGGCGCAUUAGCUAGUUGGUGAGGUAAAGGCUCACCAAGGCAACGAUGCGUAGCCGACCUGAGAGGGUGAUCGGCCACACUGGGACUGAGACACGGCCCAGACUCCUACGGGAGGCAGCAGUAGGGAAUCUUCCGCAAUGGACGAAAGUCUGACGGAGCAACGCCGCGUGAGUGAUGAAGGUUUUCGGAUCGUAAAACUCUGUUGUUAGGGAAGAACAAGUGCCAUUCGAAUAGGUUGGCACCUUGACGGUACCUAACCAGAAAGCCCCGGCUAACUACGUGCCAGCAGCCGCGGUAAUACGUAGGGGGCAAGCGUUGUCCGGAAUUAUUGGGCGUAAAGCGCGCGCAGGCGGUCCUUUAAGUCUGAUGUGAAAGCCCACGGCUUAACCGUGGAGGGCCAUUGGAAACUGGAGGACUUGAGUACAGAAGAGGAGAGUGGAAUUCCACGUGUAGCGGUGAAAUGCGUAGAGAUGUGGAGGAACACCAGUGGCGAAGGCGACUCUCUGGUCUGUAACUGACGCUGAGGUGCGAAAGCGUGGUAGCGAACAGGAUUAGAUACCCUGGUAGUCCACGCC